rnacentral:rRNA from 1 species
UACGUAGGGUGCGAGCGUUAAUCGGAAUUACUGGGCGUAAAGCGUGCGCAGGCGGUUUUGUAAGACAGAUGUGAAAUCCCCGGGCUCAACCUGGGAACUGCGUUUCUAACUGGCAGGCUUGAGUGUGGCAGAGGGGGGUGGAAUUCCACGUGUAGCAGUGAAAUGCGUAGAGAUGUGGAGGAACACCGAUGGCGAAGGCAGCCCCCUGGGCUAACACUGACGCUCAUGCACGAAAGCGUGGGGAGCAAACAGG